rnacentral:lncRNA from 1 species
CAGGAGGACACGGGGAAAGGGCGGGAAACGGGGUGGGGCUUUCCCGUUUAGCUAGAAUCGUGUCAAGACACGUGAAGAAAGAAGCACCGUCCCACGGAAAGAGUCGGAAGAGCAAGAUAAUAUGGGAACUGCACAUUUAUUCCUGCAGUUCCAUUUGUUCAGUUUUGAAUCUAGCACCGAGAGCAGUGCCUGGCAGUAGACACUUGUCUGAGUCUGGCAUAUGGCAGGCCCUCAAUACUUGUCAAAUUAAUGAAUGGGUUACGUUCUAUUCCCAUAGUUCUGCUGCCCAGUCAUUCAUCAUACCCUCAUCCCUUAUACUAGUAGCCAAAGUGAGUAUUUCCCGGGAUUUUGAAAGUUUUAAGAUAGGUUUUUAAAAUUUGCGAGAAAUUUAGUUAUCACUACUUAUUAAGAUUCAUUACAAGGGGAUCGGGUGGUAGCUCAAUGGCAGAGUGCUUGCCUCGCAUGUGUGAGGCACUGGGGUUUGAUUCUCAGCACCGCAUAUAAAUAAAUAAAGGCCCAUCAACAACUAAAAAAAGAUUCAUUACAAAUCCUCCUGCAAAGGAAAAACUCUAUCCUGCUAAUUUAAAGAUUUGCUUUUGAUAGGGACUUUCUCUAGAAAUACAAACUCAUUGUUAGACUAAACACAAAAGAAGAUUAUGUUUGGUUAAAGGUAAUUAGACUCUUGACUGACAAUUAGGUGACUGAGUUUCAUAGAACAAGGCUUCAAUCUCUUUAGAGUUUUUCAGAAAAUUGCUUGCAUAUUUCAUCAGGUGUGCUUAUUCCCAGAGGUUGUGAAUUACAUAUUUAAAAAAAAAAAAAAUCUGUCCUAGGUCAGGUUUGGGACAUGUUCAUGUUGUUGUAUUUUACUAGUACUAUAUAGAAUACUACUCAAAUUUCAUAUAUGUAUAUAAUGUACUCAGACCAUAUCCACCUUUCCAAUGCCCUCUUGUCCUCACCCCCGCCCCGCCCCCUUCACCUUCCUUAAGAGUCCAC